ACGCGAAAGUCCCCUUCGGGGGACAAGUAGAGUGGCGCACGGGUGAGUAACACGUAGGUAAUCUACCUUCGGAUGGGGAAUAACAACCGGAAACGGUUGCUAAUACCGCAUAAUGCAGCGGCACCUAAUGGUGACAGUUGUUAAAGCGGGGGAUCGAAAGACCUCGCGUCUGAAGAGGAGCCUGCGGCGGAUUAGCUAGUUGGUAGGGUAACGGCCUACCAAGGCGACGAUCCGUAGCCGGCCUGAGAGGGCGGUCGGCCACACUGACACUGACAUACGGGUCAGACUCCUACGGGAGGCAGCAGUCGGGAAUUUUGGGCAAUGGGCGAAAGCCUGACCCAGCAACGCCGCGUGAAGGAUGAAAUCCCUCGGGAUGUAAACUUCGCAAGAACGGGAAGAAUAAGUAGGGGACAAUACCCCCUAUGAUGACGGUACCGUUUGUAAGCUCCGGCUAACUCCGUGCAAGCAGCCGCGGUAAUACGGGGGGAGCAAGCGUUG
rnacentral:rRNA from 1 species